rnacentral:rRNA from 1 species
UUUGAUCCUGGCUCAGGAUGAACGCUGGCGGCGUGCCUAACACAUGCAAGUCGAACGAAGCGCAUGCCUGGAACCCUCCGGGGGGAAGGGCAUAUGACUGAGUGGCGGACGGGUGAGUAACGCGUGGGCAACCUGCCCCGCACUGGGGGACAACAGCCGGAAACGGCUGCUAAUACCGCAUAUGCGCACAGCUUUGCAUGAAGCAGUGUGGAAAACUCCGGUGGUGCGGGAUGGGCCCGCGUCUGAUUAGCUGGUUGGCGGGGCAACGGCCCACCAAGGCGACGAUCAGUAGCCGGCCUGAGAGGGUGGACGGCCACAUUGGGACUGAGACACGGCCCAGACUCCUACGGGAGGCAGCAGUGGGGGAUAUUGCACAAUGGGGGGAACCCUGAUGCAGCGACGCCGCGUGAGCGAAGAAGUACCUCGGUAUGUAAAGCUCUAUCAGCAGGGAAGAAAAUGACGGUACCUGACUAAGAAGCCCCGGCUAAAUACGUG